AAACGAUCGGGAGCUUGCUCUUGGGUGACGAGCGGCGGACGGGUGAGUAAUGUCUGGGAAACUGCCUGAUGGAGGGGGAUAACUACUGGAAACGGUAGCUAAUACCGCAUAACGUCGCAAGACCAAAGAGGGGGACCUUCGGGCCUCUUGCCAUCAGAUGUGCCCAGAUGGGAUUAGCUAGUAGGUGGGGUAAUGGCUCACCUAGGCGACGAUCCCUAGCUGGUCUGAGAGGAUGACCAGCCACACUGGAACUGAGACACGGUCCAGACUCCUACGGGAGGCAGCAGUGGGGAAUAUUGCACAAUGGGCGCAAGCCUGAUGCAGCCAUGCCGCGUGUGUGAAGAAGGCCUUCGGGUUGUAAAGCACUUUCAGCGAGGAGGAAGGUGGUGAACUUAAUACGUUCAUCAAUUGACGUUACUCGCAGAAGAAGCACCGGCUAACUCCGUGCCAGCAGCCGCGGUAAUACGGAGGGUGCAAGCGUUAAUCGGAAUUACUGGGCGUAAAGCGCACGCAGGCGGUUUGUUAAGUCAGAUGUGAAAUCCCCGGGCUCAACCUGGGAACUGCAUUUGAAACUGGCAAGCUAGAGUCUCGUAGAGGGGGGUAGAAUUCCAGGUGUAGCGGUGAAAUGCGUAGAGAUCUGGAGGAAUAC
rnacentral:rRNA from 1 species